UACGAAGGGGGCUAGCGUUGCUCGGAAUUACUGGGCGUAAAGCGCACGUAGGCGGCUUUCUAAGUCGGGGGUGAAAUCCUGGAGCUCAACUCCAGAACUGCCUUCGAUACUGGAGAGCUUGAGUCCGGGAGAGGUGAGUGGAACUGCGAGUGUAGAGGUGAAAUUCGUAGAUAUUCGCAAGAACACCAGUGGCGAAGGCGGCUCACUGGACCGGUACUGACGCUGAGGCGCGAAAGCGUGGGGAGCAAACGGG
rnacentral:rRNA from 1 species